rnacentral:rRNA from 1 species
AUUGAACGCUGGCGGCAUGCCUUACACAUGCAAGUCGAACGGCAGCGGGGACUUCGGUCCGCCGGCGAGUGGCGAACGGGUGAGUAAAGCAUCGGAACGUACCCGGAAGUGGGGGAUAACGUAGCGAAAGUUACGCUAAUACCGCAUAUUCUGUGAGCAGGAAAGAGGGGGAUCUUCGGACCUCUUGCUUUCGGAGCGGCCGAUGUCAGAUUAGCUAGUUGGUGAGGUAAGGGCUCACCAAGGCGACGAUCUGUAGCCGGUCUGAGAGGAUGAUCCGCCACACUGGAACUGAGACACGGUCCAGACUCCUACGGGAGGCAGCAGUGGGGAAUUUUGGACAAUGGGCGCAAGCCUGAUCCAGCCAUGCCGCGUGAGUGAAGAAGGCCUUCGGGUUGUAAAGCUCUUUCGGCCGGGAAGAAAUCGCAUGGGUUAAUACCCUGUGCGGAUGACGGUACCGGCAUAAGAAGCACCGGCUAACUACGUGCCAGCAGCAGCCGCGG